rnacentral:rRNA from 1 species
UACGUAGGUGGCGAGCGUUGUCCGGAAUUACUGGGCGUAAAGAGCUCGUAGGUGGUUUGUCGCGUUGUUCGUGAAAACUCACAACUCAAUUGUGGGCGUGCAGGCGAUACGGGCAGACUGGAGUACUGCAGGGGAGACUGGAAUUCCUGGUGUAGCGGUGGAAUGCGCAGAUAUCAGGAGGAACACCGGUGGCGAAGGCGGGUCUCUGGGCAGUAACUGACGCUGAGGAGCGAAAGCGUGGGGAGCGAACAGG